rnacentral:rRNA from 1 species
GGAGUCUAGCAUGCGCGCGAGUCAUCGGGAACCUCUAAACCCGUAGGCGCAGUGAAAGCGAAGGCCCGCCUCGCGCGGGCCGAGGGAGGAUGGGUCUCCGUUCGCGGCGGCCCCGCACUCCCGGGGCGUCUCGCGCUCAUCGCGAGCUGAGGCGCACCUAGAGCGUGCACGCUGGGACCCGAAAGAUGGUGAACUAUGCCUGGUCAGGACGAAGUCAGGGGAAACCCUGAUGGAGGUCCGUAGCGAUUCUGACGUGCAAAUCGAUCGUCGGAACUGGGUAUAGGGGCGAAAGACUAAUCGAACCAUCUAGUAGCUGGUUCCCUCCGAAGUUUCCCUCAGGAUAGCUGGCGCCCGGUGCGUUUCGAGUCUCAUCCGGUAAAGCGAAUGAUUAGAGGCAUUGGGGUCGAAACGGCCUCAACCUAUUCUCAAACUUUAAAUGGGUGAGAUCUCCGGCCCGCUCGAUUCGGGCGCGCGCUCGCGCGCGCCCGUGAGGCCGGAGAUCGGAUCAGGGUGCCAAGUGGGCCACUUUUGGUAAGCAGAACUGGCGCUGUGGGAUGAACCAAACGCGGAGUUAAAGCGCCGAAAUCGACGCUAAUGGGACACCAUGAAAGGCGUUGGUAACUUAAGACAGCAGGACGGUGGCCAUGGAA